rnacentral:rRNA from 1 species
AGAGUUUGAUCCUGGCUCAGAGCGAACGCUGGCGGCACGCCUAACACAUGCAAGUCGAGCGAGAAAGUGACUUCGGUCGCGAGUAAAGCGGCGAACGGGUGAGUACAACGUGGAUAAUCUACCCUAAGGUCUGGGACAACCCCGAGAAAUCGGGGCUAAUACCGGAUAAGACCACAGUAUCCAAGGAUACAGUGGUAAAAGAUUUAUCGCCUUUGGAUGAGUCCACGCCCCAUCAGGUAGUUGGUAAGGUAAAGGCUUACCAAGCCUAAGACGGGUAGCCGGCCUUAGCGGGUGAACGGCCACAUGGGGACUGAGACACGGCCCUGACUCCUACGGGAGGCAGCAGUGGGGAAUAUUGGGCAAUGGGCGAAAGCCUGACCCAGCGAUGCCGCGUGAGGGAUGAAGGCCUUCGGGUUGUAAACCUCUGUCAGGAGGGACGAUGGGACUUUGUCUUGACGGUACCUCCAGAGGAAGCCCCGGCUAACUCCGUGCCAGCAGCCGCGGUAAUACGGAGGGGGCAAGCGUUGCUCGGAAUUACUGGGCGUAAAGGGUCCGCAGGCUGUCAGGCAAGUUGGUUGUGAAAUCCCAAGGCUUAACCUUGGAAUUGCAUCCAAAACUGCCUGACUAGAGUCCAAGAGAGGUUGGCGGAAUUCCCGGUGGUAGCCGGUGAAAUGCAUAGAUAUCGGAGGAACACCA